rnacentral:ncRNA from 20 species
AUGACUGGGGUGAAGUCGUAACAAGGUAACCGUAGGGGAACCUGCGGUUGGAUCACCUCCUUA